UUGUUUAUUAUUUAAUUGUCUCAAAUUGAGACAAUAGAAGAAAACACUUUUCUAACACUUAUUUUCCCUCUUUUAAUUUCUUCUAUCACUGAACUCAGCUAUCUCUGCUCCUGCGACGGGAGCGGCUUCAUACUCGGCAUGCAUUAUCAAUCGCGGGAAGGAAUAGCAUGGCUUUUAUUUUACCUCCAAACUCCGCCCAUAUUUUUCCAUCGGCUUCAUUAACAGGACACAAUUCGUGUAGGGGUUUUCUAGUGGAUGGCAAGGGCAUAACUUCAAUCUCCAUUUCUGCCCUUUGUACCAAGCAUAUUCUCAAGAUCUGGUUUUCCAGGGGUUUAGGGAUCUUGAGCAGGUUUUUAUUUCCGUACAUCAGCAUCGGUGCCAUAGCCCCAGGGUCGAAUCGAGGCUGUUGGAAGAAGUUCACACAAGAUGAUUAAGCUGCAAUGCAAUCAACUGCAAAGGGAAAGGCAAGCUUACUUUCCAAGCAUUCUUCAAAAUUUAGGGGUGACUGGAAGAGAAGAUUCUUUGUUCUCGAUGGCUGUGGAAUGUUGUAUUAUUACCGCAAACAAGACUGGGGCAAGAAAAUGGUCUCAAGACAUUAAUGCUUUCAGGCUCUUUCUCAAAGAGGCCUAAGGCAUAAUCUAAGCCUAUUUUUGUCCUGAAAACCAAAAAUAGGGCCUGUGAUGACUAAAUAUACCAUUGCUUUGUAGAAUUUGGGACAUAUAAAGAACUUCUUCGCUCCCAGAUAUAUUGGAAAGCAUCAAUGAUUAUAUCGAUGAUGCUGAAAUGAUGGAUAAAAUGACUACCAAGAGCUGAUGUGAAUUGAAACACUGGCCUGUAUGAUUUUGAUUUGUUUGCAAUUAUUUUUCAGGCUUUCUUUAUUGAAUAAUAUGCUAUAAAUUACUUCCAAGAUUGGAAAGAGUUGGUUUUAGAAUCCAUUCUAAGCUUGAUUAAAUUUAGUUAGAAAGAGGGUAGUUUGAAUUUGUCGAUUGAUGACUUACACUUGUUUUGCAUUGAACAAGUUCACACUGAGGAUCAGAAUCAGACCAUGUAGGUACCAAUUCACAAACAUAAAUGUAUCGUUCAAAAUUUCGGUACAUUCUCUUUGUGUUGCUAGAGCUAGAUAGACAUUGUAAGGUUUUAUUUAAGAAACACAGUUGUUUUAUUUUCAAGACAACGAAAAGUUGUUCAAUACAAAAACACAAAAUGGCUGGCAAUGGUCACAUUCUCAACCAUUAUUUAGACUUAAAACCCACUGCUAAACCAAAGGGUGUUUUGAAACCCAAGAUUCUGAAGGAUAAAAUUAAAACCAAAGGGUGUUUUGAGACCCAAGAUUUUGAAGGAUAAAAUUCUUCUUAAAGGGUGCUAGCUCAAUGGAAGAGUACCUGCUUUACAAGCAGGAGGAUGGUGGUUCAAUUCCAUCGUGCCCUAACAUAAUUAAUUAUAUUGUAGUUUAUAUUUAACAAUAUU